GAUGAAGAACGCAGUGAAAUGCGAUAAGUAAUGUGAAUUGCAGAAUUCAGUGAAUCAUCGAAUCUUUGAACGCACAUUGCGCCCCUUGGUAUUCCGAGGGGCAUGCCUAUUCGAGCGUCAUUAUCACCCCUCAAGCCUAGCUUGGUGUUGAGGCCUGCUGUCAAGGCAGCCUCUAAAAUCAGUGGCAGUGCUGUCAGGCUCUAAGCGUAGUAAAUCUAAUCGCUAUAGACACCUGGUGGACACUCGCCAGAACCCCCCCCAUUUUUUAAUGAUUGACCUCGGAUUAGGUAGGGAUACCCGCUGAACUUAAGCAUAUCAAUAAGCGGAGGA
rnacentral:misc_RNA from 1 species